rnacentral:tRNA from 1 species
UCUAUUGUGGCAGAGUUGAGUGCGAUAAAUUUAAGAUUUAUUUAUAGAUUAUUUUUCUCUUUAGAU